rnacentral:rRNA from 1 species
CCUACGGGUGGCAGCAGUGAGGAAUAUUGGUCAAUGGACGAGAGUCUGAACCAGCCAAGUAGCGUGAGGGAUGACUGUCCUAUGGGUUGUAAACUUCUUUUAUCAAGGAAUAAAACGAGGCACGCGUGCCUGUUUGCAUGUACUUUAUGAAUAAGGAUCGGCUAACUCCGUACCAGCAGCCGCGGUAAUACGGAGGAUCCGAGCGUUAUCCGGAUUUAUUGGGUUUAAAGGGAGCGUAGACGGGUUGUUAAGUCAGUUGUGAAAGUUUGUGGCUCAACCGUAAAAUGGCAAUUGAAACUGGCAGUCUUGAGUACAGUAGAGGUAGGCGGAAUGCGUGGUGUAGCGGUGAAAUGCUUAGAUAUCACGAAGAACCCCGAUUGCGAAGGCAGCUUACUAAACUGACACUGACAUUGAUGCUCGAAAGUGUGGGUAUCAAACAGGAUUAGAUACCCGAGUAGUC